rnacentral:sRNA from 1 species
GCCAGGUGUGUGGUGCACACCUGUAAUCCCAGGACCCAGGAGGCUGAGGCAGGAGGAUCACAAGUUGGAAGGCAGCCUUAACAACUUCGUGAGACCCUGACUCAA